UUUUUCAUUGGUGUACACAGCACGGAAACAUUUGAAUUUUCAAGAAAAGAAAACCUUUGUGAAAAAU
rnacentral:tRNA from 1 species